rnacentral:rRNA from 1 species
CUGCCCAAUGCAACUAAAUUAACGUUUGUUGUAAAUGGCGGCGUUAACGUGGGCGUCCUAAGGUAGCGCGAUAAUUUGCUUUUUAAUUAAGGGAUGGUAUGAAAGGGUUAACGAAGAAGAUGCUGUGUCUAAGAAUUUAAUUUAAACUAACUUUAAGGUGAAGAGGCCUUUAUGAAAAAGAAGGACGACAAGACCCUAUGAAGCUUUACCUUAAUUGAAGCUUUCAAGCUUUUAUACGGUUUUGAUGGGAGAUCAGUAAAAAUAAAUCCUUUGCUAUAGAGUUUAUCCUACCAGAAUUUCCUAAUUUUAUAUGUGUGAUUAGCUACUCUAGGGAUAACAGCGCAAUUUCUCCCGAAAGAUGGUAUUGGAGGGGAAGAUUGUGACCUCGAUGUUGGCUUUAGGUGUCCUAGAGGCGUAAAAGCUUCUAAGGGUGGGUCUGUUCGCCCUUUAAAAUCUAACAUGAGCUGAGUUCAGAACGGCGUGAGCUAGUUCAGUUUCUAUCCUCUUUUAAAAAUGAGCUAAUUUUGUACGAAAGGACUUUUUUGCUAAAGCAACGCUUUGCCCUGGCUCUUUGAUUUCCUAAAUAAUGCUGCGUAGUAAACUGAUUAGUUUAUAAAAAGGGU